rnacentral:tRNA from 1 species
GGUUGCUUAGAUCAGCUGGUUAGAUCGUGGUGCUAAUAACACCAAGGUCGUGGGUUCAAGCCCCAUAGUGACCA